rnacentral:misc_RNA from 1 species
UUACACUCAACGGCCCCCAGCAGGAUUUUCUCCUGUGUCGGGGGUCCGGAAACACACACAAUACACAAGCACAAACGCCCAGACCUCAACAAACUCGAUCGAUCCAGAAUCGAUAGAUAUGGAUAAUGAUUUUGGCGAAAUCAUCUGUGCUAGUUUGGCACUCUUGGAAGCCAUUAAGCUGAAUGAAUGAAUGGAUGAUAUUUGGCAUAGAUAUAGGCUAAGUCUAGAAGGAUACUGUUUAUUCCGGAAAAAUAGUAAGAUCCGAUAAAAGCUCCGAAUCGGUACUAGCUUCACAUUUAACAGUGAUUGAAAUUUUGAUUUGUAAGAUGACGAUUCGAAUGUGCUUUUGAAGCCUAUUUGAAUAAAGCUAUUUUGAUUUUGAUUGCCUGAAAUAGAUUAGUAUGGCCGAUUGAGAAUAAAUUACAUGAACAAAAUUAAUAGAUAACACUGUAAUAAUACGAUAAAAUUAUUAUAAUAAUCGCUCGCUUUAUAUCCCUAAUAGUGGAAGUAAUAUACAGUUACGAUAAUGGGAACCCCAUUCAGACCUAUCACCCUUAUAGAGGCUUCUUUCAUUUGGGUUACGGCUUGCAAUAUUACGAAAAUCGCUAAUGUCACGUAGAAUCGAGAAAAGGUGAAGG